rnacentral:rRNA from 1 species
GACGAACGCUGGCGGCGUGCUUAACACAUGCAAGUCGAACGAAGAGCGAUGGAAGCUUGCUUCUAUCAAUCUUAGUGGCGAACGGGUGAGUAACACGUAAUCAACCUGCCCUUCAGAGGGGGACAACAGUUGGAAACGACUGCUAAUACCGCAUACGAUCUAAUCUCGGCAUCGAGGAUAGAUGAAAGGUGGCCUCUACAUGUAAGCUAUCACUGAAGGAGGGGAUUGCGUCUGAUUAGCUAGUUGGAGGGGUAACGGCCCACCAAGGCGAUGAUCAGUAGCCGGUCUGAGAGGAUGAACGGCCACAUUGGGACUGAGACACGGCCCAGACUCCUACGGGAGGCAGCAGUGGGGAAUCUUCCGCAAUGGACGAAAGUCUGACGGAGCAACGCCGCGUGAGUGAUGACGGCCUUCGGGUUGUAAAGCUCUGUUAAUCGGGACGAAAGGCCUUCUUGCGAAUAGUGAGAAGGA